CCAGGGCAACCACCCAGGUGGCCGGAGACUUGGGCCUUGCAACCCCACCCCCUGGGCCUCGGGGGAGGGGAGAGGCCACACGACCCCCAUUGGUUAAUAACUGCAUUGAUCACAGCAGGGCAGAAAAGCCUCCUUAAAGCCGGAAAGGCAAGGGAAGUGGGGAGCUUCCGGGUCUGAGAUCCCAGGGAGGCUUGGAAGGGGCUCGUAGACGCUGUCAGACCUUCCCCGAGCAUCCUUUCUCCUAACCCGGUCUGUCUCUCCACUGCAGCCCUGCAAAUAGAUUCAUCAGGACCAUUACACUCAUGUUCUUAAUGUGAAUGUCCCGAGAUAGCUGGAAGCUCUUUCCAGGUGGCAAAAAAAAAAAAAGGGAACCGGACUGUUGCAGACCGACACUGUCUCUAGCCCUGGGUUUCAUUUCAACUGCCCUGUUGCUGCCUUCAAAAGCGAGCAGGCGUGGGGCGAGGAUGCAAAAACCUUCCACAGAUGCAGAGCGUGUGGCGCUGAAGUUGUCAGAGUAGGUUUGCAUCUAUCUUCCUUGUACAAGGUUUUCACGCCAAAGGUCAAAAAAGGAACUGAAUCACGAUCACGGGAGAAGCGUCCAGCCGCAGAAGGAAAAAGCAGCUCAAAGCCACGUUUUACGCCCCGUGGUUUACAUAGGUCAGUGCCACACUCUUAAUCCAUCCGACCCGCUCCUUCUCCCACUCGGUCCACAACUCCGUUCUCUAUGCCUUCGUCUCUACUUCUGCCCUGCAAAUAGCUUCAUCUGUACCGUUUUUCUAGAUUCCGGACACCUGUGUUCAUAGACGAUAUUUGUUUUCGUCUUUCUGGCUGGCUUCACUCUAUUCUGGACUACUUAUUUCUCAUGAUCACAGCUGGAGGGAAAUGGAUGCUACGGGGAUCUGCCUUAGAAACGGACUCCAGAAAUCAGCCUCCCCAAACCGUUCCCUCUCCUCAAGGACAGUUUUCACAACCACACAGUCUGUCCUUGGAUGGAACUUCUCUCAGUUUCUCUGUCAAUACAGCUACCAGUCGUUUUAACACCUUCAGUAGCUUUUGGCUGGACUCGAAAUGGUUAUUCCUUGUUGCUCUUCAGGCACUAAGCGAUGUUUGACUCUUUGCAUAAAAGGGCCUCCCUGUCCUUCACCAACUGGCAGGGUUUGCUCAAACUCAUGUCCAUCGAGUCGGUGAUGCCAUCCAACCAGCUCAUCCUCUGUC